rnacentral:lncRNA from 1 species
UCUUCUAACACUUUUACACAGUAUAUCCAUUUCGAUUCAUCGACAAUAUUUCAUUACAUACAAAAUAUGCUUAUACAACAAUAACAUAAUAACCAACAAGAUUUGCCCAUAAUUCUGAAUAGCUCUCCACUGCCUCAGCCCAAUUCAAAACAUCUGAAAGAGUGACAACUUGACCUGAAAGAUUUAUAUAACAUUGGAGUGAGCUAAAAACAGCUCAACAAGUGACAAAGUAUAUUCAGAACAAAAGGAACAGUUUCAAACAAGUAAGAUAUCAUAAUGUAAGGCAGAAUACAAGAAUUCUCAAGGAUACCAUCUCAUUAGAUACAAAAUCAUAUGUGUCAUGUCAUUCAAAACAUAUUUGGUUCAUAACAAAUGGAGCACAGAGUAAUUGGAGCAUAUCAAUAGCGUACGAGAUGUUCCGGAGCAUAUCAAUGGCAAAUAGGACAUUUCAGAACAUAUCAGGUCAUAGCAAAUGGAGCACCGAGUAAUUGAAGCAUAUCAAUAGCGUAUGAAAUGUUCUGGAGUAUAUCAAUGACAUAUGGAACAUUUCGAAGCGUAACAAUAACAGAUGAAACAGAUAGAAGGUGAAGUGAGAUUCCAAACAUAAUAUGGUCCAUCCAUUUCUGAAUGACCACCAAACAUAAUCUAUAGCAUCGCAGGCUCUAAGCACAUACCCUUUACCAUUUCUAGCAAAGGUCCAAAUAAUCCCACAAACACUAGAGUACAAAAGGGUAUUGUGAACAAUAAUUUGAGACAGUAGCAGAUGAAGCAUUUCGGAGCAUAUCAAUGGCGUAUGAAAUGUUCCGGAGCAUAUCAAUGACAUGAAACAUCUCGAAGCGUAACAAUAAUAGAUGAAACAUUUCGGAGCAUAUCACUGGGGUAUGAAAUGUCUCAGAGCAUAUCAAUAACAAAUGAAACAUUUCAGAACAUAUUAAUAACAAAUACCAAAUAGAAGCUCAAACGUCGUAUUUGACGUUACAUUCAUAUCAUUCUUAUCCAAAGCAUGUACAAAAACACAUAACCAAAGUUCUGGAUAUCAUAUUAAACAUACAAAAGGUGUAGUGGGACCACAGACAGAAUGUGAUUCAUCCAUUUCUGAAUGACCACCAGACAGAAGUCUCCCACGUUUGGGAGGUCUCCCACAUCUUUGAGCUCUAUCCACCCACAUCUAGGUGAAGUCAGAGGGGGCCGGUAGAGCAUCGCAGGCUCUAUGCAUAACUCCCUUUACCGUUUCUAGCAAAGGUUCACAAAUCCCACAAACACCAGAGUAUAAAAGGGUAGUAUGAACAAUAAAUAGCAUAUAUUAGAAGUACACGCGGAACAACAAAACGUACAUGUGCCUUUACGAGUCAAUAAGAAGUAAGCAAUAAUCUUUCACAAUUGUAUUCAGAUUUGAAAGGAAAUGAAAGCAAGAGCAUUCAAGGAUUCCAAGCAAUCACAUAUAACUCAAUUCAAAUAAGAAGGUUAGAUGAAUUCAAUGUCCAAAGGAAUGAAACUGGAAUAGGCACGUAUCGAAAGCAAAUGCGGAACAAUGGGAUAUACAUAUGCCUAUAUGAAUCAAUACGAUAUAGCAUAAACGUUACACAAUAGUUUUCAAGAAUGCAAAUAAUUUUAAGGAGAAGAGCAUAUAAGAAUUCAAAGUAGUAAUAUAAAGCUCAAUUGAAUAAGAAAGCUAAAGGAUAUCAACUUCCAAAGGAAUGAACCCAGAAUAUGCAAAAUCGACCAAAGCUUGAUUUCUGACAGAAUUCAAGAGGCACAUUGAACAAAUGAUUCAAACCAUCAAUUGUGCUCCAAUAUACUCAAGAAAGCUAUUGUGGAAAGAUAUUUCCAUCUAUUUUCAGAUAAAACAAGUCUCGUAUGAAUCAAAAUUUCUAACAAAGAGUUACAAUAGAUUUAGUAACCCAAGAUCAAAGAACAAAUCUCAAUUUUACAGAAUUCAUAGGGUCGGUUUCAAUAGAAAACUGGGCAGGCUUUUGGACUCUAAAUCUUUCAAUCCAGGUAUCAAAGAAAGAUCUAUGAGUCUAGUUUCCAAUGAAAUAAGCUUUGAAUAAAUCAACAUUUGCAAGAGGGACUUAUAAGCAGUUCAGUAUCAAAAGGUCAAAAAUUACGAUCCUUGUUUUGCAGAAUCUGUAGGUUCAUUUGAAACAGAAGUAUGGGCAAGCAAACUUACUCUGAAUUCUUAAAAUAAGCUAUCAAAAGAAAGGUUUAUGAGUCUAUAUUCUGAUCAAAUAAGUUUUGUCCAAAUCAGAGGUCAAUACAGGAAGUUAUAACCCUAAUAGAGUAGAAAGGUCAGAAUCUCAAAAGUUGCAUAGAUUCGAAUCGUUACGUCUAAAUAGGAGAUAUAUCAAAUACAAGGCUAGAACAAUUCAAAGUUCCUCAUAUUCAAAGCAAAUGUAGAGAUAAAAUUAUAAUAAGGAAAGAUCAGGACACUUGCAUUAGGAAAGAUUAGAAAGCUUACAAUAGGAAGGAUCGGAACACUUGCAAGAGAAAAGAUUAGAAAGCUUGCAAUAGAAAGGAUCAGAACACUUGCAAAAAGGAAAUGCAAUAGGAAAGAUAAGAACACUUGCAUGAGGAAGAUCAUAAUACUUGCAAUAAGAAAAAUUAGAACAAUUACAGGAGAAACGAUCGGGAAACUUACCUUUUGAAGGUUUUGAUCCAAAGAUUCGAAGAAGGUGUACGCUCGAAUCCUUUUUCUACUUUUCCUUCAUCCCCUCCCUGUUUGUUUUGUGCACUCGUUUUCUUUCUUUCUUCGCAACUACACCACGUGUCGAACAUCAAGGCACAGUCACCUGCUCUCUCUUACUCUCAUUCCUUCUUUUUCUUUCCCAAAUGCAGCUACCAUAGCCACCGCCGUUGCCGCUGCCACAGUCGCAGCCACGACCACAGCUAUUGUCACAACCGCAGCCCCCUUCCCCUGCACUGUCUUCUUCCUCCCCUUCUUUCGCAGACACAACUGCUGCAUACGCAGUCGCUGCCGCCGCGGCCGCAGUCCCGACCGCAGCCCCUUCUUUUUUUUCCCCUUUCCUUUCUUUCUAUUUCCCAAAAGCAGCUACUGCAGCCACCACCGCUACCGCAGCUACCGCAGCCAACGUCGCAGCCGUAGCCGCAAUCACAGCCAUGGCCGUAGCCACCACAACCGCAGACUCUUCAUCCUCCCCUUCUUCUCUUCCAGCUGCAGUUGCCAUCGCCGCAGCCGCCCCUUCUUCCCCUUCUCUUCUUCCUCUCCUUCCCUUCUUCCUUCCUCUUCCUCUUUCCCUGCUUCUUUCCCUUCUCCUCUUCCUUCUCCUUCCUUUCUUCUUCCCUUCUCCUCCCCGGCGUCACACACACCGUCUCCUCUGUUUCCUCUGCAGGAAACAAAGGUAUCACAACCUCUUCUCCUGCUUCCUCUUCUUCUUCUCUUCCUCUUCUCCACUUCUCCUGCCCGACACCCCAAACCUUUCCU